rnacentral:rRNA from 1 species
AGAAUCAACGCUGGCGGCGUGCCUAACACAUGCAAGUCGCACGAGAAAGGGGAGCAAUCCCUGAGUACAGUGGCGCACGGGUGAGUAACACGUGAAUAAUCUACCUCCGAGUGGGGAAUAACUGAGAGAAAUCUUAGCUAAUACCGCAUAACACUUACGAGUCAAAGCAGCAAUGCGCUUGGAGAGGAGUUCGCGGCCGAUUAGUUAGUUGGCGGGGUAAUGGCCCACCAGGACGAUGAUCGGUA